rnacentral:rRNA from 1 species
AUUGAACGCUGGCGGCAGGCCUAACACAUGCAAGUCGAGCGGAGCGGCGGACGGGUGAGUAAUGCCCAGGAAUCUGCCUGGUAGUGGGGGAUAACGACCGGAAACGGGCGCUAAUACCGCAGACUAUAAGAUGAGCAUAGGUCGGAUUUGCUAGUGGGUGGGGUAAAGGCCGACCAAGUCGACGAUCCGUAACUGGUCUUAGAGGAUGAUCAGUCCCCCUGGAACUGAGACACGUUCCAGACUCCUACGUGAGGCAGCAGUGGGGAAUAUUGGACAAUGGGCGAAAGCCUGAUCCAGCCAUGCCGCGUGUGUGAAGAAGGUCUUCGGAUUGUAAAGCACUUUAAGUUUGGAGGCGUUACCAGCAGAAUAAGCACCGGCUAACUUCGUGCCAGCAGCCGCGGUAAUUC